CAGACAGAGAAAGGACCUUAAAAGUCGUUUAAAACAACCCCCUCAGAGUAUGUGGAAACUCAGCCAUAAACAAGUCAAACAGUAUAUAUCCAACAAAACUAGAUUGAGAUACCCCACCCCAUCCUGCAAGUGGUGGACAGGCUCAGGGCUUGGACUCAAUGACCAAGUUGCAGACCCAGUUCUAUGGUUCCUAUUUGUGUGCCUAUGGGAAACAGAUUUUUCUCUCUUCCAUUCACAGAUGUUGAAUAAAAUACCCCCCCUCUUUUUUUUUUUGCUGUUCAGAUUAGGCAAAAUAAUGCAUGUACACCUGAUUUUUAAGCCAUUAUGUAUUAUAUAGAUGCAAAAAAUUAUGAUAAUUUUACCUACACCAGGCUGCCUCUUUUUACCUUUGCCCUGCCUUUUACAUUUUCUUUGCCUUUAAAUUCUUCAUCUCUCCAUCUGGACUGAACCAGUAGUUUUGCAGAUCUUUCUCCACACUUUACCACACUCAGAAGGUAUAAUAAGAAUAAGUUGAGGGAGUCUGAAAAGGAUUAGACCAUGUAGUCAAGAGCUACGUGAGCCUCUGUGGGAGAGAGAACUCUCAAUUUUUAUUCCUCACCACAUUCUUCUUCUUCUUUCCAAUAAACUAAUAAUUUUUAUAACAGUGGAGUUCAGGGCUUGCAACAAGGGUUCAGAACAACAGGGUUAAUCAGUUAUUUGUGUGUAUGUGGGCGCAUCCCGUGUCACAUGUGGGAGUGAUAAUUGAGUAUCUCCCAAUUCAGAGAUUAUUUUGCUCUCUAGGUGUGUUGGUUGUGACACCUACACAAAAUGAGUAAGAUUAGUAGUAUCCCAUACAGAUUGGAAUUACAGACUUUUGACUCAGAACAUCCUGGUUGGAGUGAAGGCUCCGAGAAUUAUCAGUUUUGUGAUCAUUGGCAAAUUAUUUAUUCUCUCCCAGGCAAGGUUUCCUCAUUUUGAUAAUGGACAUACUAUUGUAACUAACCUUGUUGGGUUGCUGUGAGAAUGAUGUAAUUAUGGAUGCACGUAUAGAGAUAUCAUGGUGGUAUUAAAACACAUCUACAAAUUCUCUAACACAGUUCCCAUGAAGACAUGGAGUGGACAUCCCUUCCCUUCACAAUUUGCCCUGACCUUUUGACUGCCUGGGUGAACAGAAUGUGUCAAAGUGACACUGCAUGGCUUUUGAGUCUAGGAUCUAAAAGCCCACCCAGCUUAUGCUUAUUUCUCGUGGAAACACACUUUGAGAAUCUUCAGCUGGCAAGUACCAUUUGAGUAAAGAAACCCUGAAGAAGAUUCCAGCCCUAGCCAUUGUCUGCCUGCAACUGUAGGACCAGACAAUCAGAACAGAGCUUAACACCUAAGCUAGGGAGCAGAUGCUGGAAUGCCAUGACCUGCAAAAUGACUGUGCCCUACCACGCCUGCCAGCUGCCUCCCCAGAUGACACAUUCACCCGCUCUCGAACUGCAAGUGCUGGCACAUAACUGCCUCAGAUCUGGACAAAUGUACGUGUGGGAUGUAAGACAGGUUUUUUCUAAGGUCCCUUCUCUUACAGAAUUAGAAUCAAUUUCUUCCUUCACUAGUAAUUUAUUUCAAUAGCUAGGGUCUGAACUUCAAGCAUAGCAUCUCUACUUAUAACAACUUAGAUUUUGGGUAGCUGACUUGACUUUGAAUGAAUUUGCACCUGCAAAUACUGAUUUUUCUCUUUCUUUGGUAGGUAAAUUACCUUAAAAGUAAAAGACUAUGACAUUCAGAGGUCUACUCUAUUCCCUAUUCAUCUUGAACCAAGCUUGAACUAACAAAAGCACAUAUGAUUAAUGUCAUCAAAGAAAGAACUAAAAUAUAAAUAGACCCUUUUAUUUUGCUUCAUUGCAAUAGUGUCAGACAUCUAACUCCAUGACUAGUUCUGAAAUGCACCACUUUUGAAGAUGCUAGGUUUGCAAUCUUUUUUCUUACCAAUUGAGUGAAUUUGUAGGUUUUACCUAUGGAUGAAUGUAUAGUAGUAUAAAUAAACUGGAUAUUUGCAAAUGUUUAUUGUAGUCU